rnacentral:rRNA from 1 species
ACGGAAGGCAGCAGUGGGGAAUAUUGGGCAAUGGGCGAAAGCCUGACCCAGCGACGCCGCGUGAGGGAAGAAGGUCUUCGGAUUGUAAACCUCUUUCAGCAGGGAAGAAGCAAGUGACGGUACCUGCAGAAGAAGUCACGGCUAACUACGUGCCAGCAGCCGCGGUAAUACGUAGGGGGCAAGCGUUAUCCGGAUUUACUGGGUGUAAAGGGAGCGUAGACGGCAUGGCAAGUCUGAUGUGAAAACCCGGGGCUCAACCCCGGGACUGCAUUGGAAACUGUCAGGCUAGAGUGCAGGAGAGGUAAGUGGAAUUCCUAGUGUAGCGGUGAAAUGCGUAGAUAUUAGGAGGAACACCAGUGGCGAAGGCGGCUUACUGGACUGUAACUGACGUUGAGGCUCGAAAGCGUGGGGAGCAAACAGGAUUAGAUACCCUGGUA